GUGAGGAAUAUUGGUCAAUGGACGAGAGUCUGAACCAGCCAAGUCGCGUGAAGGAAGACGGUUCUAUGAAUUGUAAACUUCUUUUGUGCAGGAAUAAAGUGGGUUACGUGUAACCUUUUGUAUGUACUGUACGAAUAAGGAUCGGCUAACUCCGUGCCAGCAGCCGCGGUAAUACGGAGGAUCCGAGCGUUAUCCGGAUUUAUUGGGUUUAAAGGGUGCGUAGGUGGAUUGAUAAGUCAGCGGUGAAAGUUUGCAGCUUAACUGUAAAAUUGCCGUUGAAAUUGUCGGACUUGAGUGCAAAUGAGGUAGGCGGAAUGUGUUGUGUGGCGGUGAAAUGCUUAGAUAUAACACAGAACACCGAUUGCGAAGGCAGCUUACUGGGAUGCAAAUGACACUGAUGCACGAAAGCGUGGGUAUCAAACAGGAUUAGAUACCCGAGUAGUCC
rnacentral:rRNA from 1 species